rnacentral:rRNA from 1 species
UACGUAGGGUCCGAGCGUUGUCCAGAAUUACUGGGCGUAAAGAGCUCGUAGGUGGUUUGUCGCGUUGUCCGUGAAAACUCACAGCUCAACUGUGGGCGUGCGGGCGAUACGGGCAGACUGGAGUACUGCAGGGGAGACUGGAAUUCCUGGUGUAGCGGUGGAAUGCGCAGAUAUCAGGAGGAACACCAAUGGGCGAAGGCAGCUCGCUGGGACGGUACUGACGCUGGAGACGCGAAAGCGUGGGGAGCGAACAGG